rnacentral:rRNA from 1 species
AAUGAACGCUGGCGGCGCGCCUAAUACAUGCAAGUCGAGCGAGAAGACGUAGCAAUACGUUUGUAAAGCGGCGAACGGGUGAGGAAUACAUGGGUAACCUACCCUAGAGUGGGGAAUAACUAGCCGAAAGGUUAGCUAAUACCGCGUACGCUCCUUGGACUUCGGUUCAGGGAGGAAAGCGAUGCCGAGGGUAUCGCGCUCUUGGAUGGGCUCAUGUCCUAUCAGCUUGNGGUGAGGUAACGGCUCACCAAGGCUUCGACGGGUAGCUGGUCUGAGAGGACGAUCAGCCACACUGGCACUGCGACACGGGCCAGACUCCUACGGGAGGCAGCAGUAAGGAAUAUUGCGCAAUGGGCGAAAGCCUGACGCAGCGACGCCGCGUGGGGGAUGAAGGUCUUCGGAUUGUAAACCCCUUUCGGGAGGGAAGAUGGAGCGAGCAAUCGUUCGGACGGUACCUCCAGAAGCAGCCACGGCUAACUUCGU